UACAGAGGGUGCGAGCGUUGUUCGGAAUUAUUGGGCGUAAAGAGCGUGUAGGCGGCAUUACAAGUCGGGUGUGAAAGCCCAAGGCUCAACCUUGGAAGUGCGCCCGAAACUGUGGAGCUGGAGUGCCGGAGAGGAUGGCGGAAUUCCGGGUGUAGAGGUGAAAUUCGUAGAUAUCCGGAGGAACAUCGGUGGCGAAGGCGGCCAUCUGGACGGACACUGACGCUGAGACGCGAGAGCGUGGGUAGCAAAC
rnacentral:rRNA from 1 species